CUCACCAAGAGUCUGAGCUGAGGCACUCACCCAAGAGAAAUGCCACCAAUGUAAUUUCUGUUUUGAGGAGUGGAAGGUGGUACUCAGUCUGAACUUAACUCUAAGUUAUAAACCAGGACACAGGUCUGAUGGCUGCUGACAACCCUCCUCGAUAUUUGUGGUUUCCCUUCAAAGGAGGUUACUGCCAGAGUAAACUGAAAUUGGAGGUGGUUUACGAUCAUGCUGCAGCCUGUACACUACACUUGCUCAGGAGUUUAUCCAGGAAGGAUCAGCUGAUCCUGCUGCAGGAUGGUGACCUCUGGCAGAGACACAGGACAGAGACAGCUGCUUCUGCUCUCCCAGCUAAACCUGCUUAAGGCGAAUAUCCAGAAGAAGGGGAAUGUUUGUGAAGGAAAAAAAAGAAUAUUGCAACUCACUGCUAGAGGCGUUAAUACGACGCUAACGAACCGUAGCCUUUCCAGAGCAUAGCUGGCAACAUUAGCACCCAUCUGUGCUGAGUGGGAUGUGCAAGCAGAAGCCAGGGCCGAGCAGCCUCCACCUGUUUGCAGAAAACCUUACAUUUCCUGUGAAGGAGGAACUCUGUGCUGUCCCCAUGGAAUGGGAAGGACUUGGAUGCUUCACUAAGACUUCUCCCUUCACCCUUGAUGAGCAGGUGUGCUGAUUUUGGCUACCGAGGGCUGUGUUUGGCCUGCACGAAGGGUCCCUGCAGCCACCCCAUACCAUGCAGGCUCCCCAUACCCAGCAGGCUCGUGGUACAAACUGCGCAUGGGUGCAUGGGGGCACUGGGUUUUCUAACGGGAACCUUCUGGGAGGAAACUCUGGCCCAUCCAUCUUCUCUCUAAGGUGCUCCACACAGCAAACCCAGAACCAAUCUGGGCAUCCACCACACCUGGGGAAGAGUCUGCCAUGUCAUGCAGGACACAAAACUGGGUUUUCUUAGGCUUGCAGCAAGGCUGGGACAGUGCAGGGCUUUGCAGGCUGUCUGCCCCUGUUGGCUGAGGGGUGGGGGUGUUUGCUGGCCAGCAUUCCCCCAGCCCAGCUGCUGGUGGCUCCAGGGAAUGACACUCCUGACAGGGCCCCACACCCUCAUGCUGCCCUGGGCUGGCUUCCUCAAGGAGGCCUUUGGGCCUGCCUUCCAAAAUGAGGCAUUUUUCAAUGUCCAUCUCAACAGAUCUUGGUUUAAUUUGGGUGGCAAGUGUUUACAGAUUAAACCCUCUACUUAAUAAUGCUUCUGUGACAGCUGUUUUGUCCAGCUUUCAUCAUGAUGUAAGUGUUUUUAACCAAGGAGCCUUGGAUACCUACUAACAUGGUACACUUUCUCAUGUGUUUGCCAAUUUGCUUUUUAUUUCUCUAGCUGAAUUAAUAAUGUAUAGUUUUUGCCCAAGAAACUAGUUGAGUUCACAACAUAUAUUUUUCUCUCUAGUUCUGUUUCAGGGUA